CUUAAUAUUGGUUAAAUAUGUAUAUAUAUAUAUUUGAUAAUAGAAUUGAAAUGAAGGUAAUUUUCAAUAGCUCUUAUACAUGUCCUGGUGAUAGGGAAUAUCUGUCUUGCAAGCAGGUCUAUUUCCAUUGUCAUUUGUAUUACUGUGUUAAUGAUGGAGAAAAGCUUCAAACCGUAGGUAUCCAAAACGCAAAUGCACACUCUCUCAAAGAAGAGCAUAUGAAACUGCAUCUGAACCUCGGAAAAAAAUCAUUUUUUGAGAUAUCUUGAAUAAAAAAAUAGUCAAAAAAAUACAUCGGUAUAUUAUACAUUACAGGGGUCAUUACAAGUAAAAAUAGACAUAGAACUUAAAAAAGGAACUCCUGAAAAACAUGGUCUUCAUAUUUUCUGUUCAAACUAAAACAAUCUGUUAUACUGGAGUAAUACCGC
rnacentral:lncRNA from 1 species